AAAGUCGUAACAAGGUCUCCGUUGGUGAACCAGCGGAGGGAUCAUUACAGAGUUGCAAAACUCCCAACCAUUGUGAACCUACCUCACCGUUGCUUCGGCGGGUGGCCCGGCCAAAACCGGACCGCGCCGGCUCCGCUCUUGGAGCCGGCAACCCGUCAGAGGACCGAAACUAUCAGUCAUCAUUGGCCUCUCUGAGUAACUUAUACAAUAAGUCAAAACUUUCAACAACGGAUCUCUUGGUUCUG
rnacentral:misc_RNA from 1 species